rnacentral:lncRNA from 1 species
CUGCCUGCUCUGUUUCCUCCCUGUGUCUGGUUACUUACAUAUAUUCUCCCUAAUUGUACAAACAUUGUUCUCACAGAAAGCAAUAAAUAUCCUUGAAAAUAACCACAUCUGCAAAAUGAUAACAGAUGAAUAAAAUACUUUUGCAAGUAUUUAAGAAUUGUGCCAAAAAAUAUGCCAAGCAUAUACCUACAUUUAAUUUAGCAGUGUUGUUACUCAGUAUCAUUCUAUGGAGAAGGAAAAGUGUUAGCAGAAUUCUAGUAAGUAAGGAGCACAGAGGACUUUAGAAAGAUGUGCCAAUCAAAACAAGGACUGGCUCUCUAGUUUUAUCCCCAGAAGGUGGAUGGACAGAGGCCAUAAGGUCUGAGCCGAUUUCCAAUAACUCACCAAGCAAGGCAACAUUCAGAGACAUUGCAGGUGACAACAUGCCAUCCUGAUCUUCUGUAUGUUUUAUAAAGUCUGGAGACGGGCCUCAACCAAGAUCUUGGAAUGAUGUUCCCUUUGGUCAAAUGGUCUGUAUCUUGUCUUUUCAUCUUAACAGAAUUCUUGCAAGGCAUAUCUGCUUGGGAAGAUUAUUGGCCAAAGAUGCAAGCUAAUGAAAUGUAAAACCUGCCAUAAAGUAUUACAGAGAUAUUUGUAAAAAUGGAUGAGAUGAUUUAUUGUUUCUAUCCAGUAUAAUCACAGUCAUAUCACCCUCAGAGUUCCUGAAAAAUGUUCAACAAGAAGUCAAGGUCUGUUAAAUAUAUCAUCUGUUUAUGGACAAAGAUUAUAAUAAAGUAAUCAUGACUGUGAAAUGUGGAGCCAUACUUCAGUUUUGAUCCCAACACCUCUUCUUAACAGCUGUAUGAAGUUGAAUAGGUUACUUGAUUUCCUGUCUCAAAAUACUCAUCUAUAAUAUUAGGAUAAUGAUUAUAGUAGGACUUUUGUCCACAGGCAUGUUGUCAUAUUAAAUUUAGAUCAAUAUAUGUAAAGCAUAUAUAUAAUUCAUUUCUUAAGUGUUCGCUAAUGUUAUUGAUUACAUAGAGAACUCAUUUAAUAUGGGUCACCAGCCACACAAAGAACUUACAAAACUAAAAUAAGCCAAACAGCCUACUUGUGACCCUUCCCCUUGAGACCUCACUGGAAUCUCAAAAUAACAUUCGAGUUGUGAUUAAAGGUAGCUUUAAGGUAGGAAAGGGAGAUUAAAGCCACAGAAGAAGCUAGAAGGAGAACAGCUAUUCUUUGAAGUUUAUAGUAAAGUAGCCCCAAUAUUUCCAUCUGGGACUUUGGAGGCAGAGACAGUUCUGAAGAGGCCACAUCUCUCUCUCUCUCUCUCUUUUGAAUAUAAUUACUCCAGUAUUUUGGGGGGAAAAAAAACAACUCUCCAUCUGGAAAAGCUUAUGCAUACAAGGAAACAAUUAGAUUCAGAAAGGAUGUUUCCUCUUCAGAAUUGUCUCUGGCUCCAAAGGGUCAGGUUGAAAAACUAGGACUAUUUUACUCUAAACCUAAAAGAACAAUAGAGCCUCAUUAAUAUCCUUAGAUUUUUACCUGCCCAGUAGUUUUAUUUUCCUUCUUUAUUUGAAAUAAGGGAAGGGACUCAUGGUAAGGGUGAGUUGAAAGGAAGCAAAUGAUGGCUUGUGGUCAUCAUCUCAAAGAACACUUUAGCCCCUAAGCAAGGGAAAAGGGUGCUAGGCAAAUUAUAACUGGCAAUGAUUAGGAUAUGUCUGCCUGUUCUCUGGCUACAACAAUAUGGGCACUGAUUUUCUUCAAAUGCUCCUCUGGAACUUGAGCAUCAUUAUUAGCACACCACACAUGUGAACCAUUCUGCACAGUGAGACAUCUUGGCAUUGCCCAUUGAGUGCAGAGUAUGAUAUCCUGAUUACACAAAACAGUUAUUAUUCAUUGACAUAAUUAUCUUGUCUCUCCACUCUCUUUCAAUUUUGGACAACUUUAGGGUGACCUGACCACUGUUGCCCCAUAGUCCACAAGGCAAUAUUAACAAUUUAUAAAUGUUCUCAUAAAUAAAUCUUGAAAAGAGAACACAAGUUUAUAGAAAAACCUGCAAUAAAGAUGAGUCAGUCAUGUGCAUUCUAGUUUAAAAACAAAGCAAGCUAAAACUUUGAUUGCAUUUUGACAAAUCAAAAGGAGGGAGUUAAAGCCGUUACUUGGUUAAUAAUUCAGAGAGGAAAGAACCUGAUCUUUGGGCCUAUACGUUUCUAUUACACACAAAGGUCUAAAACUUAGAUAUGCAUAUUCUUUCCUAGAGCAGCCUGCAGUGGUCAUUGACAUGAGAAGUACUGAUCUACACACUUUUUGUCCACUCUCACCACACACUUAUUCCCAAACAUAUUUGCCUCCAAUUUUCCAUUCAUGUUCUUUCCAAAGUCUUGAACUACCAGUGAAGUUGCAUGCAGAAUUUCAGGCAUAUUGCUAAGUUGGAAUGCUUCUCUUUCAUGUCAGCUUAUGACCUGUUAAUUGCUUAAAGGCCUGCUGACUUGGAAGAUUCCCCUCAAUACCAUCUUUCAGGAUCUUGCCAGUGUGAGGCUGUAGUGCAGCAGCAAUCUAUUUUUAGCUGUCACCAUAUAUCAAAUUGUCUCAACCAUAAAUGAGGACCAGGUUUUUAUUCCACCCCCACUGGGAAGUAGAUAACAUCCCAUAGGACCGUGGGUAUAUAUUAAGAGAGAGGUUCAGUCAGAUAGUAGUUGGUGAUUUGAGGAAUCUAUGACUACCUCUUAUAAACUUACUUAUAUCCUCUGAGCCAUUUCAGACCUGAUACUCAAUGCCACUUUUAUCAUACUAUGGUUUACUAAUAUGCUUGUCUGGCUGUAUGACUUGAUGGACCUGAUAAUACUUAUUUCUGACUAUACAAUCAUUUGAUGUUCCUUAUCAGGUGCUCAGCAUUUGCUAGGGGCCAAAAACAUGACAAAACCUGCUUUUCAGGUGGUAAAUAUAUAUCUGAUGAAUAUGGCAUGACAUUAUUCCAGAGUCUUUAGGGGUCUAUACUGCCACUCCUCUAAUAGGGCUCCAGAAAUUCACAGAAUGCCCUAUGUACCAAAAAUACAUGUGAGAUCAUGGGAUCUGUCAUGCCACAUAGCCCAAGAAGCAGGGACAAUUUGUAUAACAACCUGAAUCUCUUGCAAAGCUCUCUCUUAUGCUCUGGUGUCAUUCAAAGCUGUUGUGCUUUCAAGACACUCAAGAAACUAUUUCUGCAUUAUUGCCAAAUCUAGUUUGUAUUCUGUCUGAAAUCUGAAGAGGCCUACAAGUGAUGUGCAUCUUUCUUAGUGAUUAGCAUGUAUGUGGUCUUUACUUUGGAGCCUAUGUCACAACAUUCUGAUGACACUUAAAAACUUCAGUGAUAUGGGAUGCUGCUGAAUUUGUGUUGUUUGGUUGUGCAAAUGUUUUACUAGGGCAUCCAGAGAACUUACCAUUUCUGCUCCCAGAUCCUCAGCCAACAUGAUGGUAACAAUAUUACAGAUCAAUGUGACUCCCAGAAAAAUAUCCAGAUAAUCAAGUUCCCUUCAGAAUAUAUUGUCUAAAGGGUCUAAUAUUUAGCCAUAAAAAUGAAGGAAGUUUGAACAUAUUCUACAACAUGAAUGAAUCUUGAGGACAUUGUCAAAUAAAAUAAACCAAUCACCAAAAAUAAACUAUUAUAUGAUUCUACUUAUAUGAGGUAAUCAAAAUCAUAGAAACAGAAAGUAGAAUAGUGGUUGCCAAGUGCUGGGGAUAGGAGUUAAUCAGGAAUUGUUUUGCAAGACGAAACGUUAUAAAGAUUAGUUGCAUAAAAAUGUGAAUAUAUGUAACACUACUGAACUAUACAUUUAUACAUUUUUAGGAUGGUAAAUUUUAUUAUGUGUUUUUUUAACCACGAGUAAACAUAAUUUUAAAGGAAGGAUGGAAGUCCUUUCUAUCUAUGACUCAAAACUUAAAGCACAGAAUAAAAGAUUGAUAAUUUUGACUAUAUUUUAAAAAAUAUUCUGCAUGACAAAACGUGCACAUACACAAGUAUAGUCCACAGAUAAAACAUAAACUGGGAAAAAUAUUUUCAAUUCAUAUCUUAGACAAAAGACUCAUACCCCAAAUAUACAAAUGGCUUAGAGAAAUUGAGAAAAAAUGACCAAGAACCCAAUAGAAGAAAAAGGUAAAAAUCAUAACAGUUAGGUCACAGAAAGAGAACUGCAAAUAGCCACAAACAUACGUAGAUUCUCAACGUCACUAAAAAUUAAAGAGAUGCAAUAUAAAAGUACAACACGCACCUAUGUAAAGGUUACAAUCAAAUGAUACAUGCACUCUAUGUUGCAGCUAUGAAUCCAAAAUGGUACAGCACUUAUACAGGGAAUCUAGCAAUCUCUUGAAAAAUUGCAAAUGUAUUUACCUUUUAAAUCACAUAUCCCAAUACUAGAAAUAUAUAUCUUCACCUAUUAAAUGACCCUUGUACAAAGUUAUUCAUUGUAACACUGUUUGUAAUAGAAAAAGAAUGAAAAUAGAGCACAUGUUCAUCAACAAGGACUGGUUAAGACACAAGAGAGUACAUCUGUAUGAUUCCAUUUAUAUGAAGUGCUAAAGCAUGCAAAGCAGUCUAUGAUAAUGGAAGUAAGAAUACUGGUUACCUGUGGGGGAUGGUAGCCUGGGAGCAAACACAAAAGAGACUCAUAAGGAACCAGAAACAGCUUAGAUACUUAUGUGGGUGGUGGUGACACAGUUGCAUACUUACAUAAAUAUUGAUUAAGAAGUACAUUUCAGACAGAUGUACUUUAUUGUUAAGCUUGUACUUCAAUUUUGAAAGUUUAAAAAUAGGGGUAAGAUAAUCAGGAAAAUGUAAAUGAGAACCCCAACAAAACAGUCCUUUACAGUCACUAGGAUGGCUACAAUCACAAAGACAGUUAAUAACAAGUGCUGGUGAGAAUAUAAAGAAUUUGUAUCAUUUAUACAUUGCUACUGAGAAUAAAAUGGUGCAGCCACUUAGGAAAUAGUCUGAUCAUCUUUCAAAAGAUUAAACGCAGAGUUACCAUAUGAACCAGCAGUUCCAUUUCUAGUUAGAUACUCAAGAGAAAAUGAAAAUAUACACCCACAUAAAAACUUGUACAUAACUGAUGACAGCAUUACUUAUAGUAGCUAAAUAGUGGAAGUAACCCAAAUGAUCAUCACAUGAUGAAUAAAUACAAUAUGCUAUAUCAUACAAUGGAAUAUUAUUAAAAAUUAAAAGAAGUUAAAAACUGAAACAUGCUACAACAUGGAAGAAACUUGAAAACAUGAUGUUAUCUUAAGGAAGCCAGUCACAAAGUAGCACAUACUGGAUGAUUCCAUUUAAAUGAAAUGUCCAGAAUAGGCAAAUCCACAGAGAGAAAAGUAGAAAGAGUGGUAGUCAGGGGUAAAGCGAUUGGGGUAAAUGGAGGUCAUCACUAAUGGAUAUUGGAUGUCUUUAGGCUUAUAAACUUGCAAUCGUUGCACAACUUUAUGAAUGUAUUAAAAACCAACAUAGGCCGGGCGCAGUGGCUCACACCUGUAAUUCCAGCACUUUGGGAGGCCAAGGCGGGCGGGUCACAAGCCUAAACAAGAUGGUGAAAUCCCAUCUCUACUAAAAAUACAAAACAGAAAAAUGAGCCGUGUGUGGUGGCUUGCGCCUGUGAUCCCAGCUACUCAGGAGGCUGAGGCAGGAGAAUCAUUUGAACCUGGGAGGGGGAGGUUGCAGUGAGCUGCGAUCACACCACUGCACUCCAGCCUGGGCAGCAUAGUGAGACUCCGUCUCAAAAAAAAGCCCAAUGUAUUGUCUAUUUUAAAUAGUGUGAUAUAUAAUAUAUGAAUUAUGUAAUAUAUGAAUUAUGUCUCAAUAAAGUUUUGCCAAUUAAAAAAAGAGAGUAGGAGAGUUGAUGUAGUCCUGUAGCAAGAAUAUGAGUGUAUACUGCCUGCUGUGGUUGUUAUUUUUGUGUUGAUCUUUUUGUCCUUUGUAAUAAAAUAAACACUAAUGCAUUUUAUUUAGUGUACUUGCCAAUGAGAGGCUUGUGUGCCUUCAUUAGAUUGUCUAUUCGAUAUGUUUUCCAAUUUUAAAAGGUCAUUGAUUUGGUUGAAUGUCUAACAAAGUAAACAGCAAUUCUGAGCACUCUUUCUCUGAAAUAAACCCCACUUGAUCUUCAUCUCUCAUUACCAAAGCGCACUAUCAAGUGACUAGGGAGCUAAACUAAACUUUAUACUUUAGUGAUAAUGACUUUUUGACCAGUGUGGCGAGCUGAAUAUUUUACUAAGGAUAAAACUUCUGGACCUCUUAGAAGCCAGGCAAGAAAUAAAUAUUUGGGGAAUUUUUUUUGACAAACUAUAGUCUAUAACACUUUAGAUAAAUAUCUACAUAAAAUUCAUUUAUGUAUUUUAUCAUAAGUAUUGUGUAUGAGUAUGUACAUAAGUUUGUGUUAUUUGAAUUAACAUUUCUUCCUUUUUCAGAGCUGAAAAAAAAACAAUAGCACAUCUGUGUCAUUUUCAGUCACCACAUUAAAAAAAUGUUAAUUUAUUAUUUUUAAAUAUCUGGCAUGAAAUAUGCAUAUUACUAAAAAAUUGAAAAUCUCAAGAGGAAUCCACUUUAAAUGCUGUCUAGAUCUUAAAACUAAUGUUAAAAUACUAAACAUCUUCUGGAAUCAAUUACUUCCAAGUAAAAAAACAAUCAUUUUUGUCACUUUUGCAUUUUUUUAGUUUAAUCUUUUUGUUCUUUAAAGUGUUCAUUGAAAUGAAAUAUGAUAUAAACUUUGCCAUCACUUAAGAAUCAAAAAAUGACAAACCAGGACUGAAGACAUGCUCCUAAAAAGCUUUUGAUGAUAAAACAUCUUUGUAAUGACAAGUAAAUUCUAGAGAUACCUGUCAGGAAAAUUUUGUAAUUCUCCUCUCUCCGGUCCAUUUUAUCUUGCCUAAGUGAAGCACAGUGUUAAGCAAUUAGUUGGGUAAUGUAGGAAAAAAAAAACCCACCAGUUACGUAUGACUGUGAAUUUGACUUUGGAGGUCACAGAAUGAAAGGCAUUGUACAGGUAAUUAUUUCUUUCACUAUGAUGGAGGUAAUGAGGGAAAUAAAACGUUAAGCUUUUCUGUUUGCAAAAGGCUGACAUGAGACCAGAAUGUAAGGUCUUUUUCUUUCCUCUUCUUCGUCUUCUUCUUUUUUAGGGGGGUGGUGAUAGUCUUGAAAUUAACCUUAAUCUUUGAAUAUCCCCCAAUUUUAGAUUCCUUAAUGCCCAGCUACUCAAAUACUUCUAGAAGUGUCCACCAUUCUUCUAAUUCAGCUUCUUUUAACAUCACAGUUAGAAGCAGACAGUUGACUGAUAGUUCUAAAGAACCUCCUCCUCUAAUUUAAUAUGAGAUUAUCCUCUUCAAUGGUGCAUAUCACUGUGUUUAACAUCAGCAAAUGACAUUUAUGAUGCCCUUUUAUACUCAGUUACAAAUAGUAUUCCAGGAGGACUCUGAAAUACCCAAAAUGUAA